UACGUAGGGUGCAAGCGUUAAUCGGAAUUACUGGGCGUAAAGCGUGCGCAGGCGGUUUUGUAAGUCUGUCGUGAAAUCCCCGGGCUCAACCUGGGAAUUGCGAUGGAGACUGCAAGGCUAGAAUCUGGCAGAGGGGGGUAGAAUUCCACGUGUAGCAGUGAAAUGCGUAGAGAUGUGGAGGAACACCGAUGGCGAAGGCAGCCCCCUGGGUUAACACUGACGCUCAGGC
rnacentral:rRNA from 1 species